rnacentral:rRNA from 1 species
GACGAACGCUGGCGGCGUGCUUAACACAUGCAAGUCGAACGGACAGGCCCUGAUUUUGUGGGGUGCUCGAGUGGCGAACGGGUGAGUAACACGUGUGUAAACUGCCCUUGACUUUGGGAUAACUUCACGAAACUGGGGCUCAUACCGGAUAUGAUCUCCUGAUCCAUGGUGGGGGUUGGAAAGUUCCGGCGGUUGGGGAUGUACUCGAGGCUUAUCCGCUUGUUGGUGGGGUAGUGGAUUACCAAGGCUUUGACGGGUAGGCGGCCUGAGCGGGUGACCGGCGACAAUGGGACUGAGAGAGGCAGCAGACGGCUACGGGAGGCAGCAGGGGGGAAUAUGACACAGUGGGGGGAAGCCUGAGGCAGCAGCGUCGCGAGCGGGAUGACGGCUUUCGGGUUGUAAACCGAUUUCGACGGUGACGAAGCGUGAGUGACGGUACUGGGUAAAGAAGCACCGGCUAACUACGUG